AGCAAGAGCUAUUCACUGAAAUUGUUCAGCAAAUAAUGGUAAAGUUUCCCCUUAAUUUUGCAUUUGCUGGUUUUCUUAGCAGGGAUAUGGCCAAUGGCUGCCCCUGUGAGUCAGCAAGCCUUGGAAGGACAUGUGACUUGUUCAUGUGACUCUGGACUCCAUCUUGUGGCAGUGAUUUUCCACAAACUGUUUGUGAGCUUUGUUUGGGACAGGCAAAUUCCAAGGCAUGGCAGAGGGUAUAAAAGACCCUUGAAAUAUCUCCAUGUUGCCUCUUUCCUGCUCUGAUUCUUGGGACAAUGGAUUUACAACUAAAAGGAGCAUAUUGACUAUAAACCCAGGAUCUUCCAGAGUUACCAGAGACUUUACAAACGUCACUGCUACAAACCUGAUAUAAGAACAUUACAAUCAUUACAUAUGCGCUGCUGUCAGAGAGAGGAGCUGCAGUCCUGCCUGCUCUGCUCAAGCAUCCAGACGCCUGCUGGGGUACCGGCGAUAUAACCAGCAGUAGGCAGCCUCCUAGAGACCAACUUCUCCACCAGCCGGAGAACAACUGAAGGCUGACAGAUGGUGACGCCUUAUAUGGGAGAGUAUGACACCAUUAGAAGCUUUCCUGUUCUGUCUCCAUCUUCUGACUGGGAGAAGAUAAAACCCCAAGUGUUUAGGUUGGAAUAGACCAUCAAAAAGGGAUAUUCCAAUUAUUCUCAGAUAAGAAAUGGGUGCACAUCACCCUCAAGAGGUGCAUGUCAAAAAACAAAAUUAUGUGAAUAUUCUUUCAAAUGAAUGAACCCAGGCAUUGCCAGACUGGAUCAGACUGAUGGUCCAGUGUUCUCUCACCAACAGUGGCCAGAUGCUUCAGAGGAAGGUGCAGGAAAGCCUACAAAAGGCCAAUGUGGGGUAAUCUUCCCUCUAUGAAGUUCUCAUCCCAAUCCCUACUAGUUGGAGAUUGAUUUAAGACCUGAAGCACCAGACUUACGUUGCUUCCCAUACUCUUUGUUAGCAUUAACUGUGUGAUAAAUCUAGAUGUUCUUGUUAUCCAUACAAAUGUCCUAUUCCUCUUUGCAUAUUUGCAAACUUCCUGGCUUCAGCGAUAUCCUGUGAAGCCAGUUUGCUCUGGCUGUGUUUGCCAACUGGUUUGCUGGUGGUAAUGUUCACAAUCGCAGCACAUUUUAAGCAAGUCUUGCAGAACAUUCACAGACAGCAACAUUUUCAACUAGUAAGUGCUGUUUGCAUGGGAGAGCUAUUUCUCAGAGCGAUGCCCAUCUAAUGAAAGUCAUGGAACAGAAACAUACAGUGUGACCAGAUUUGAGUGCAAUCUCAAAGCCUGAAAGUGGAUUAACAAAUACUUGCAGUGAUCAAAAGUUCAUCAUGGAAAUAUAUGAUGGAAAAACUGUGGAUAAUAAAUAAAUUCAUGAAAAACACAAUCUGGACAAUUUGUGAAAAUAAAGUUUUCAUC